GAACGCUGGCGGCGUGCCUAACACAUGCAAGUCGAGCGGAGAUGUACUGAAGAUUUAUCGGAUGUACAUCUUAGCGGCGGACGGGUGAGUAACGCGUGGGCAACCUGCCUUCCACGUGGGGGAUAACACAGGGAAACCUGUGCUAAUACCGCAUGACAUCACAUAGGGCAUCCUGUGUGAUCAAAGGAGUGAGUCCGGUGGAAGAUGGGCCCGCGUCCGAUUAGCUAGUUGGUGAGGUAACGGCUCACCAAGGCGACGAUCGGUAGCCGGACUGAGAGGUUGGCCGGCCACAUUGGGACUGAGACACGGCCCAGACUCCUACGGGGAGGCAGCAGGUGGGGAAUAUUGCGCAAUGGGGGAACCCUGACGCAGCGACGCCGCGUGAAGGAAGAAGGCCUUCGGGUUGUAAACUUCUUUGAUGAGGGACGAAGGAAGUGACGGUACCUCAAAAACAAGCCACGGCUAACUACGUG
rnacentral:rRNA from 1 species